CACAUGACCCUGUGCGCGAUCGCCGCCCGCCCUUCAUCCUUCUCCCUCAGUAGUUUCUUCCUCCCCACCGUCCCGAUCUCCCAUCGCCGGUUGGCCUCCACCACUUUGAUCGCAUAUUCGGCCUCCACGAAAUCUCAUCUGCCCGUUCCACCCACGGUUUUGUGCAGUUGCCUCCUGAAAUGCAGCCGCCACCUUAACCUAGGCCAGUGUUCACCCGUCAAUGUAGGAGCUCCGGCUCCCACGACACCUAUGGGAUCUCUCCGGUAACCUUGCUCGAGUUAUCCACCACCGGAGUCAGGUAACUGACUUGCCUACGGAUCCAGCAGUGGGCAUGAAGGCCCAGAUGGCCCCGAUCAACGAGAUCUCAAUCUCGAUCUUGGUUAAUUAUUCCCCAGGCCAAGGCCGCUCUUUCCCUCUCUUAGAUCUGGGCCGUGCUUUCCUUUGUCAUCUCUAACCCGUGUUGUUGCUUCUAUAUUUCCAGAUUGAUUCCCCUUUUCGCCUUCUUUAGAAUAGCACAAUAGAGGAAACACACAAGAUGGAUCUUGGAUGAUACGUCAAGGACGAGCCUGCAAUCAUGUCUGGUGAGCAGCAUGCGGUGCUCAUCUUACCUUACUCCCUAUUUUUUCUUUAUAUUUACAUCUCUGUCCAUAGUCAAUGAACAAUGAUUGGUGCUUGCAAAGACAUGGUUGGCAGCUGUGUGUGGCAUUAUCUACUGUUUGAUGAUCCACAAGUGCAAUUAUCAUCUGUUUUUGCUGCAGAUUCCUGAUGUCACUAAUAAGAACUUGGGCAGUGUCGAGGUGUGCUCUUUGCUCUGUUGCUGACCGGCUUCGAACAAAUAUUUUGUCCCUGUCCUGUUUUCAGAUUCUGCAUCUUUUGAUCAGGCUAGUAGUUGGGCUGCUUGUAGCUAGUCUGCUAGUAUGAGAAGAGGUAAUUUAUAUGUGCUUUCUGUAAUUCAUUCGUUCAUGUGAUUCUAACAUACAACUGGCAUUAGAGUAUUUGGUAUUUAACCUGCAAACAAAGAGUAGUUGGUAUUUCCAAUACAGAUCAAUGUAAAACGUAAAGUUCUCCCAUGUGUUCCUUGCAUAUGUGUGUUGGUUGCUGGAUAAAUUGCUUGCAGAUGUGGAUAAUGAAAUUGGAUUUCUAUGUCUGGAGUCAGUCGAGCUGCAGAGCACCAAAUCGUCAAGGAAGUGAAAUGGAGAUAGGGACCAGAUUCAGGCCCAAAAGAUGAGCGGGGACUGCCACAUUCAAGUGCUAGAGUAGAAGGCAGAGCAAGAGAAAGAAUAUAUAUAUAUAUAUAUAGGAUUAGUUAGAAUAUUGUUUUAUGAUGCAAGUUUGUAAGAUGUGUACUCUUAAGAUAAUUUUCAUGUAUGGAUGGUGAUUUUAAUUAUGAAUAUAGAAAUGUUUCUUCUU